CACGUAGGGCGCGAGCGUUGUCCGGAAUUAUUGGGCGUAAAGAGCUUGUAGGCGGUUUGUCGCGUCUGCUGUGAAAAUCCGAGGCUCAACCUCGGACUUGCAGUGGGUACGGGCAGACUAGAGUGUGGUAGGGGAGACUGGAAUUCCUGGUGUAGCGGUGGAAUGCGCAGAUAUCAGGAGGAACACCGAUGGCGAAGGCAGGUCUCUGGGCCACUACUGACGCUGAGAAGCGAAAGCAUGGGGAGCGAACAGG
rnacentral:rRNA from 1 species